AUUUAUCGUGAAAUAAUUUUUCUCUAAAAUUGAUCCUUAAGUUAAUUGAGUCAAUUAAAUUGUGGUUGGGUUAAAAAUAAAUUAGGUUUUAAUUUGGCCAGAAAUCAAAUUAAAUAAUUAUGAUCUGAUUUGAUUUUGACUUGUUCAAGACAAGCUAAUUCUUUCAAUAUCUUCAUAAAUAAUUCUCAUUCCGCAACCUCUUUAGCCUACUCAUUGUUUUACUGGCACUCCGACUCCAAAUUACUAGCAGGAUAUCAGCCAGCUGAUCUUUGGAUCGAACAAUCGGAAGACAAAUUACUUUUUCAUCUAGGGUUGCUCUUAUAAGUGAUGUCAAUCUCUAUGUGUUUUGUUCGAUCAUAUUGUAUUGGAUUCUCUGAAAUACUGAUAGCAACUUAUCACAUAUGAGUUUGCAAGUGUUCUUUGGUGGGAAUCCAAGUUCAGUUAACAAUUUUCUGAUCCAAAGAACUUUACAUAUCCCCCAAAUAAUUCUUCGAAACUCUGCUUUUGCACUUGAAAGAGCCAACCCUUUUUUUUUUUCUUACUUCUCCUGGUAACAAGAUUACCUCCGACCAUGGUAAAGUAACCAACAAUUGAUUUUUGAUCAUUCGGAUUUCAUGCCCAAUCUGCAUCGAUGUAAGUAUCUAUUUCCAGAUUUGUACCUUUCAGAAACAAUACUUCCAUCCCAAUAGUUCCUUUUAGAUACCUGACGACGCGAAGGGCAGCAUUCAUGUGUUCUUCUUGAGGGUUAUGCAUAAUUUGACUUAUUACUCCAACUGCAUAAGCAAUAUCUAGUCUGGUAUGAGCACGAUAGAUAAGUUUCCCAACUAGUCUUUGAUAUUGCUCUUUGUUUGUUGAUUCUGCUACUUCAUUCAUAUGAAGACCAAUUCUCUAUUAUUCUCAUUGCUAUAAUUACAAUAUUAUGAUUUUAUUUCUUACAGACUGAAUUAGAUUGGAGUUAUGAGAACAAUUUGUGAAGAGUAAAAGUGAUUGUCAAACCUGAACUUAACAUAAAAUAGGUUGGGGAUAUGCCAUAAAACAUUUUCAUUUUAUUGGUGAGUUAGCGCAUUUUCAUAUUGAAGCUAUGUUGUUUUUUGCCUGUUUUUGUUGAGAAUUUAGAAUUGGAAUGGAUUGAAGGUAAAGCUAUUUAAUAUCAAGGCCCAAAGAUUGCAUUGAUGGAUUUGUUAUUUCAAUAAAGGAAAAAGGACUCAACGUAUUUAUAGAUUGGGUGAAAACCAACCAGCUAAAAGUUGCAACUUUCUUCAACAUACUGCAUACCUUUUCUAUUUUACGUUUUUUAGGAGUAAUAGCUGUUAUUGAUGUAUUAUACAAUAUUCUUGAUCAAGGUGUUGGUUGUAGGCUUAUGUACGAAUAUAUGUGUACUUUUGAGCGUGUGCAAAGUGUGACCUCCCUCGGUAAUUUGUAGAGACUACAGAAGGUGCAAUUGCACAUUCACAGCUAAAUGAAUCUCUUCUUAUCGCACAUCUCUGUUGCAAUCAGAAUCUGGAUUUUUUUUUGAUGCUGUAGUGCUUGCAACAUUGAGAGAAAACACAUUGUUCUGCCUUACUGACAUGCUCAGUUCUUCAUUCAAUUGCUAAGUGAGCAAUCCAUUAUUGUGCCUUGAUUACUGAGCUCAUUUUUAAUAGCUAUGAAGAAUUCUUAUUGAUCUUAGGAAAUAUCUGUUAAUGUGAGUGUGUAUAUGCAAUGUGGUAGAGGAGAUAUAGUGAGUUAAGUGGAGGUAGAGUAGAUUCUGUUUCAUUAAGUGGUGGAAAAACAUGUGAAUGAUUAUUUUUAGUAAUGAUUUUAUGUUGCCAACUAUCGGAUGUAUGUAAUUGUACCUUUGUAAUAACAAAGUAAUUGUUUCUUGUUGACCAUCGAUUGUACACUCCAUCUGGGGCGGCUUCGCAUAAAUAAAAAGCACUCAUGUUUGUUUGAUGCAUUGAUGUACACAUUUGAUAUAAUUAAAUAAGUGAUGGCUUGUAAAUUUUUAUUAAGAACAGAUGAACAACACCACUGCAUUACCCUAACACCAUUAAGUUUCACAUAACUGUCAGGUAUAUGUUUGAGAAAUGUAUCGGCAAACUCUCUUGGUACGUUCAUGUAAUUGAUGACACUGUUCGAAGUGUUGCCAUCUUAAGGAUAAGCUUGUAAAUUGUAAUGCACUGAAGAUUUUCAAAGAGAUCUUUAAUGUGGAGUUGGGUGUGACUUUGUUAUUGACACUGUGACAGACAUCACCGACUUUUUUACUAUGCUUACUGUAUCUUGUUGCAGGAUUUGAUGUGUCAUAUAUGUCUGUACAUUGCUCAAGGAAGAGGAGCAAAGUGGUAACAGGUGUCUUUCAAAACACAGCCACGACAUUUCGUAAUUGCUGCAGAUUCAUGAAUUUUUCGGGUGUGGACAGUAUUUUUUCUGGUUAUAUAUUAUACUUACUGAGGUUCACAUGUAUAAUGUGAUCCAAUCUUGACUUCUUGAUGUGUCAUUAGACCACAAAGUACAUAAGAAUAUUUUAUUUUCGACCCUCCAAAAAUAUCUUUUGGUUUCUAGAAGAGAAAAGGUAUUUUGUUGUGUACUUUUUGGAUUUGUACUCGUGGCCCUUGUGCCAAGCCACUUAUUUUGUCGAUAAAUAACUUCCUCUUCCCAUCUCUUGCGUGCUCCCCCACAAAUGCUCCCCAACAAAGUGGGUAAAGAUGGAGAGACUCACCAAUCUUCCUCAUACUCAUUUUAUUCUCUGUAUACUUAUACUCACUAAUGUUAAUGCUAGUAAAAAUGCACUUCCCUUAUGGCAUUAAUCUCUAAAGUGAAAGUAAUUUGACGGAACUUUGAUAUUGUAACAGACCUAAAUUUUCUUAGGAUGAAUUUAUAAUCCUCAGUCUGGUAGUACUUAGUGGAACUUCGAUCAUAAUUAUAGUUAAUAGAAAGUAAUGACCACUUGAUUACUAGAAAAGAUAAAGGAAACAAUGAGCCAUUGUACACGAAACCAAACUUUGCAAUGUAUGUUCAUAUGUCAUCGAACGGAGCUUCAAACUAUAGGAGCUUGUUUUUGUGUUGAUAGUUAAAAACCUAUAAACUAUUGUACACACAAAUAAAUCUCUCUACAAGUCUGCCAAAAAAAGGAAAGAAAAAAAAGAACAGAUGGUCCUAAAAUCAGAUACAAGAAUGUAUAGAUACACCUCUGUCAAACAGCUGUAUCUGGAAAACGUACUAUAUGUAUUGCUUCUAGGGUGAUUUAUCGGCUUUUAAAUGAUGGUAUCUUCGAUUCAUCAUUGCUGGGUGCAUGCAGGAAAAUAUUGAUUGCUUUUUCUUUUGUGGUUUAACCCCAAAAAUGAACGAUCUUAAUGGCACUCGACCUCGGCUACCAGAUCUCUCAGUUUCAUUUCGGUUUUGGUAGCCAGAAAAUCCUAAUUCUUCACUCAACCUGGCUAAGGUACGCUCACCUUCAAGCUGGAGGCUGGUUAUAUAAUCCAUACCGGCUUGCAGUUCAUCAGCUACCUUGUUAUUCUCUUGUUGCAUGUUCGCUACCUCUCCUUGGAACUUUGCAGCUUGGAAACUUGUAAAUUUCAUGUCAUCAUCUUCAGCACCUGUGCUUAAAGCAUGCUUUAUUUCUUCUUGAAUAUGACACAACUGUGAAAAUCUCCUCUGUAGCUCUUCUUUUAGCUUUUCACUUUGCUCCAACCAGACAGUUAACUCUGUUUGUGUCUCUCUCAGGUGCUUGUAUAUUGGUCUAACAUCUGAUUUCAGAGAUGAACUUAUGUGAGUAUCUCCGUGACUGCUCCCUUCUUUAUUAUUGUGGGUUUUAUAAACCUUUGCUAAUUCUGCUUGUAAAUCUUGGACUACAUUCUGGAAUUUCUGGACUUGACCAAAUGAAGCACUGAACCUCAUCCAGAAAUCCAGGUUUUCCUCCAGAAUUUGAUCAAUGUCUGCUCGAAGUUUCUGUUCGACCGGUGAAAUCUCUUUUCCUUCACUAGGGAACAUAAGCUUUAUAUCAACGUCAUCUUCAAACUCUUGAUUUCUUGCUGCUGGCUCCUCAUCUUUGUCCCGCGCACUUUUAUGUUCAUCAAACCUUUUCUGUAAAGCAAUCAAUUUCUGACGCAAGGAAAGGAUCUCUUCAUCUUUCAUGGCAAGAGAAUUCUUCAACCCUUUAAGUUGUUUCUCGAUCUCUGAAAUAUUCUCUUGAUUUUUCAUCUCUGCUUCGCAAAGUUUCUUCUUGGUCUCCUUGUAGUUACGAAGUGUAGUUGUAUACUCUGCUAAAAGAACUUUUUCCUUCCCCUCCAAACCACUCAUAAAUAAGUGCUGCCAAUCUGGCUCAUCAUCUUCUUUUCUUUUCUCUGCAGUGUGCAAGAAUAAAGGUGCGUUUGGUUCCCACUCUUCUAGGGGAUUACUCAGAUGAUCUCUAAGCAUAGUUUUAGUUGCUUCCCCUUCAUUCUUGUUUGAAGGGUUUAGUGGGUGAUCAGUAUCAAUGGUGCUUGGCUUAGAUACCUGUGGUAAAAUAUCUAUCCUGGAAGACAUUCCGGAUUCAUCCAUUGACUGGAAAGCAAUUUCCCAGACUUUCGCUCCAUCUUCAGCAAGAUUCGAGCUACUAGUAUCACUUGCAGUUCUAUCUUGCAUUACCUCUUUUUUCAGAUCCACAUUUUCCGUGGAUGCUUUACUUUCUUGUAACUUAAUUGAUUCCUCAAGUACUCUCAGCUUAUUCUCCAUCUCACUCAGUUUGUCACUCAAAGUGGAUUUUGCAGCUAUUAGGUUUUCCUUCUCAUUUUCAAGGCUCUUAAUCUGUGACUGGAGAUCAUCAAUCUCAAAUCCUCUCAGCUUAUUCUCCAUCUCACCCAGCUUGACACUUAACGUGGUUUUCACCGCAAUCAGGCUUUCUUUCUCAUCUUCAAGGCUCCUAAUCUGCGAUUGUAAAUCAUCAAUCUCGAACCCUCUCAGCUUAUUUUCCAUCUCACCGAGCUUGUCACUUAAACUGGUUUUCCCGGAAAUCAGGUCGGCCUUGUCAUUUUCAAGGGUCUUAAUCUGCGCAUGGAGCUCCUCAAUCUCAACUCCUCCCAGCUUAUUCUCCAUUUCACCCAGCUUGUCACUCAAACUGGUUUUCCCAGCUAUUAGGUUUGCCUUAUCAUUUUCAAGGCUCCUAAUCUGCGACUGAAGCUCAUCAGUCUCUGACCUUAGUGUGUGAAUUAGAGCCGUCUGAGAAGAGAUCGAAGACUCUAGGUUGAUCACUUUAUUUACUAGUUCAUCUAUCUUUUCAGCCAUUUCUAAGACACUGAGUGAUGCAGUUUCACCAUCAUCAAAAUGCUCCUUGAUUUUGUCACGUAGUAUUUCGAGAUCCUUUGAUUCUUUCAUAGCAACCUUAGCUUCGUCAUCGAAGCUAGUCAAAUCUUCUUGAAAGGGAUCUCCAUUCUCCGAGGCAUCAAUUUGGUUGCCAAAGAGCUCACUCUUGAGAGAAUUUAACUUGCUGCGCGUUUCUUUAAUCCUCUGCCUCUCCUCUUUUGCUGCAGCUACAGUUCUGUCUUGCUUCUCCUGUAGCUCAGCCAAGGUGUCAUUGCAUGACUUAAUAGCCGCUUCCGCCAUCAGAGUCCGGGCUUCCUCAUCCUCUAUAACUUGAGAUACCCCAAAUUCAUCUUGUAACUCUGAGAUUUUUUCUUGUGUUCCACUGAUUUGUUCAUCAAUAUCGCAGUACUUGGCGUACCCGCUUUCAUAAGAACUCUUUGCAAACUCCUUCUCGGUUUGAAGAGUCAGAAUUUGUUUUUGAAGCUUGUCAAUCUCGUUUAUCGCCUCAUUAAUUGUCAGACCAGAUUUAGAGACUCGAUUAGCAUGACCUGCUGAUUUAAGCACAUUCUUAGGAGGGGCUUUAUUGAGUUUUGAUGUUAAUGCAAUGAUAGCCUUAAUAUUUUUGGUAGGAAAUUUUGGUGGUGCUUGUGGGAUUUUUGUGUCUGAGUUUGAGUUUGAGUUCGAGGUGAAUGGCGAUCUGUCAUUAAACUUUCUAGGCAUUCUUGGGGAAUUAUAAUCAUCAUCAUCAUCCAUAGGAAACUGGUAUUGAUCUGGGAAUGCAGAUGCAAGUGUGGUGUUUGCAUUUUGUAGCUCUUUCGAAAUAUGGUCGUACCUUUCUGCUAGGGAUCUGUAAGCUCUGUAGGACUCCUCGAUAAAGUUUAUCAACUCUGGUCGUCUUUUGUAGUACAUUUCUGCUCUCUUAGCAAAUGAGUCUCCAUCUUCUUGAAUGAGUUUAAGCACUGCUUCCACCUUUUCUCCCAUAUCUGCAACAAGCCAGCAACGUCUAAGUCUUGGGGAAGGGAAAUUAAUCUUUUGGUAAGUGGUGAGAAUCGAACUCCAAUUUUAAGGGUGGAAGAGAUAGUUUUCAAUGAGUUUUGUCAAGUUUGUCAAGAUGUAUACUCACUUUGUUUCUACUAGUUUUCCUUAUCGAUCAAAAAUAUAGGUUAAAACAUUUAAGAUUCAAAAAGGAAGACUAGAGUGUACAUACAUUCAAUUUGAUGUAUGAUAUCAAUAAGGUGUUCAUUUGAGUUAUUGGAUCGACUUCAGGUCAAUUGUUUCAGGUCAAUCAAUGUGAAAAAAAUGAGAUCAAUUAUGCAAUUUCAUGGUGAUGAUAACAAGCAAGAAAUUUUGCACAUUACUGUUUGGCAUUGUCAACUCCUAUGAUCUCUCAAAACCUUGAGAUCAUCUACCAAGAGAUAGGUUCUGAGUUCGACACUCCCCGAAGACUCCCACCGGGUAAUAAUGCCUAAUAACUAUUUAAUCUUGCAAUUGUAUUGAGAAAAUCAUGUUUUGAAAAUUACCCAGAAUUAUGAAAUGCAUUUUAAGAUCAAUUUUUAUAGAAAAAAAAGAAGAUAGAUGGUGUUCAUGAACAUACCU